AUGUGUAUUGUGGAAACGCCUGUGUAUGGCUAAACUUGCACGCCUCCCUGCGCCAACUGAUAUCUGGCACCCAGUUCCAGCUGAGCACUCCACGCCAUGAGAAUCUCUUCAUCUCCUGAGAUGUGGCGUGGUUGUUUCUCGGAGAAGAUUAGAGCUCCGAGAUGGCUUCAGUUCAGUUCCAGGGAAAUGCAAGCUGAACUCGUGCAACCCUGUCCACAGUUGCUAGAAAAAGGAACUAGAGAGCGAUCGAGAGCCUGCCUGUAAUUUCAGCAAGGUGACCUGCACAUCAUCUCUUCUCUCGUCAGGAUCGGAGAGCGAGCCUUUCAGUCCUCCCAUUCCAUCCAUCACUCACUCCGAUCCGUUCGCCACUGUGGCGUGGCGACGACGCGCGCGAGCCCCCGGCCGGCCGAGCCCGUGCUAUCCAAGUGACCUGCAAGUGCCCGAUCGCCAUCGCCGCUACGGUGAACCCUCCCCAUCUUUACCGACCUCAGAGCCCUGUCCUCCCCGCGCACCGCCAUUGGCGUGACCCGAUCGCAGGCGCACGUUUGGCGCUGUGCUGAACAGCGAGCACCUACCAGCAAUCUAGCCUCACCACAUUCAGCCAGUCCCUAGCCACUAAGAGCGACUCCAGCACCCCUACUUUUUUAAAGUAGAGACCAAAGGCAAAAAAUACAGCGCCUGCAGGGAUCCUACUUGAUCCCUACUCUAGAGAGGCGCCUACUUUCCUUCGCCCGCGAGCCGUACUCCACACGACGGCCUCCGUUCGCGAGCCGCACUCCGCACCGCGGCCUCCGCCCACAAGUAGCCCUGCCGCGGUGCUCAGCUCUUGGACGCCCUCCGCCGCCUGCGCCUAUGAGUGGAGACGGAGCACCGCGACCGGAUCUGGUGGGCGGAGGGGGGUGGAGGGGAACUGGAAGCUGGGAUGCUAGGAGCGGCGGCGGCGGGAAAGAGAAGGAAGCGGCGGCGGGUGAAGAAAGAGAAGUCGCGAGAGAGGAAGCCGAGAGGAGGAGGGGUGCGGGAAAUAAAAAAGAGAAAGAAAAAAAUGAUGAUAGAUUGACAGGUCUUUCACAGGUCGCCGUGAUGCUGCGCUAAGCCUGAACUUUUUCGCGCAAGGCAAAGGCGAGGCGACGCCGUGACAAGCGCGAAGAAGGGUUUCGCGGCAGGGCAAGCAACGCUCUGGCGCUCCCGUGCGGCCGAAAAAUGUUGCUGGGCGGCGUGGUUUGGGCCGUUUCUGGUACGACCCACAAUCGCGCGGCUGAUGGGGCGCGCGCAGCUGGGUUGCGCGGGCCGACGUGUACCGCCGAAGCUGAAGGCCCAGAGCGGGCGUUGAUCACUGAUGGGCUGCUUUAAUUGGGCCGCAGCUGAAAAAAAUAAAUUGGGCCGCAGCCGGGCAGGAUCUCUAGCGACAAUUCCAGGCAAGGAUGGCCGCAGGGACUAGCUCCUGGGCCAGAUUGUGCUAUUGUGGGCCCGCUUGGUUGAUGUGGCCGACGACGGGACUGAGGUGGGCCGGCUUCGCAUCUAGGUUUGUUUGUAUUUUUGGCGCAGUUGGGGGUUGCCGUUGUGUGGACCGCCAAUCUUGGGGCCCGUCUACGGGAUUGGGCUGGAGGUCAUCGCUGAUGGGCUGCUAAAAUUGGGCUGCAGCGGCGCAGGAGGAUCCGGCGGCGGCGGACGGUGGUCCUGGGCCGAUGUGGUAGGGCCCGCUUGGUUGGGGAUGACAGAAGCGGCGAGGUGGGCUUCG